AACGAACGCUGGCGGCAUGCCUAACACAUGCAAGUCGAACGAACCUUUCGGGGUUAGUGGCGCACGGGUGCGUAACGCGUGGGAAUCUGCCCUUUGGUACGGAAUAACUCAGGGAAACUUGUGCUAAUACCGUAUGAUGUCUUCGGACCAAAGAUUUAUCGCCAAAGGAUGAGCCCGCGUUGGAUUAGCUAGUUGGUGGGGUAAAGGCCUACCAAGGCGACGAUCCAUAGCUGGUCUGAGAGGAUGAUCAGCCACACUGGGACUGAGACACGGCCCAGACUCCUACGGGAGGCAGCAGUGGGGAAUAUUGGACAAUGGGCGCAAGCCUGAUCCAGCAAUGCCGCGUGAGCGAUGAAGGCCUUAGGGUUGUAAAGCUCUUUUACCCGGGAAGAUAAUGACUGUACCGGGAGAAUAAGCCCCGGCUAACUCCGUGC
rnacentral:rRNA from 1 species